GUGGCGACAGUGGCGGCGAGAGGAUGAACAACAAAUUCGACGCCUUGAAAGAUGAUGACAGUGGAGACCAUGAUCAGAAUGAAGAAAACAGCACACAGAAAGAUGGUGAGAAGGAAAAAACAGAACGAGACAAGAGUCAGAGCAGCAGUAAGAGGAAGGCUGUUGUCCCUGGACCGGCAGAACAUCCCUUGCAGUACAACUACACUUUCUGGUACUCCAGGAGAACCCCAGGCCGUCCCACCAGCUCACAGAGCUAUGAACAGAAUAUCAAGCAGAUCGGCACCUUUGCCUCUGUGGAGCAGUUCUGGAGGUUUUAUAGCCACAUGGUACGUCCUGGGGACCUGACAGGACACAGUGACUUCCAUCUCUUCAAAGAAGGAAUUAAACCCAUGUGGGAGGAUGAUGCAAAUAAAAAUGGUGGCAAAUGGAUCAUUCGGCUGUGGAAGGGCUUGGCCUCCCGGUGCUGGGAGAAUCUCAUCCUGGCCUUGCUGGGAGAACAGUUCAUGGUUGGGGAGGAGAUCUGUGGGGCUGUGGUCUCUGUCCGCUUCCAGGAGGACAUUAUUUCCAUAUGGAAUAAGACUGCCAGUGACCAAGCAACCACAGCCCGAAUCCGGGACACACUUCGGCGCGUGCUUAACCUACCUCCCAAAUACAAAACUCACACCGACAGCAUCAAAAUGCCAGGCAGGCUGGGCCCCCAAAGGCUCCUUUUUCCAAACCUCUGGAAGCCGCGGUUGAAUGUGCCAUCACCCUCUCCCUCUCUGGAUGGCACCAUCAUUGAAGCUGGCAUCAUCGGAGUCCCUUGUUCUGUUGGUGUGCCUCCUGGAAGACCCUUCUGUGCUGGACAAGAGGAAUGGAAGAGCAUGUUAUGUUUUGAGUACAGGCUGACUCACAGCAGCUACGACCACAGCUGAGAUCACAAAUAAACGGUGCUAA